GUGAAUAUAUACAAGUAGCCGCACAGCGAUUAGGGUUCAGACUCAUUAAAAACCCUGUGGUAUCUUCUGGAGCCGUCGCGGUCAUCGUUUUGGAGACACAGUAGCAGCAUUUCUCAGCGAGGAUGAGGGCCAAGUGGAAGAAGAAACGCAUGAGGAGGUUGAAGAGGAAGCGCCGAAAGAUGAGACAGAGAUCAAAGUAGGCAGCUUGUCGCUCCUUCAUCUGCAACACCUUCUACCCAUGUGAAGUUUUGUAGAGUGGAGGAUGACUUGAGUAUCUGUGUUUAAGUUUUCAUAGUUUUGGGAUUAUAAUUAUGUGGAUGUUAAGUGUUUUAUCAAGUUUUACUCCGCAUUUAAUUGCAUAAUUAAGUAUGGAUGCUGUUUAUGCAAGUUUAUUGAUUGUGUUUUAUGAUGCAAUGGGCAUUUCAAUU